rnacentral:lncRNA from 10 species
UCCCCACCCCACCUCGGUGACUGAUGGCGGCAGCGGCUUGUCCCUGCCGGGACCCCACCCAACACCGGGUCUCCCAGCCCAAGCCUGCCGGAACGCAGUGUCUUUGGGUGGCGGCGGGAGUGGCGGGCCCGGAAGCAUGGCGGCCACCCAAACGCCAGGCGAUGGAAGCCGUUAGGGCGUGGCGGAACCGGAAGGCGGCCUAGGGACGCACGCAGGCUCGGCUGUCUCUUUAGGCCACGGAGCUGCGUAGAUCCGGAACCCUGGGCGACUGAUCUGUCCCCAUUGGGCGAGACCUACCUAGACAAAGGCCUUAACAUACCGACAAAGGCCUUAAGGGGCCUGGGAGGCAUGAACCUUCAGAGCCCUGAGCUGCCUUGUAAGAAGUCUAGCUAGCAAUGCCACCAUGCUGGAGAGAUGAUGAGGGAAAACUACAUACAGACACAAACAGAGUGAGACACUCAAGAAGCCCUAGUUGUGGAAUACAGCAGUGCUAUGGAGGCUUGACAUAACCAUCUACUUUUCCAGAAACCCACAUUGUCUAAGGUAAAAUAACUGCUCUGGAAAAGAAGGCAAGAAAGUAAAACAAGGCAAUUUCACCACAGCCAUCAUCAGGAACUCAGGGGCAAUUUGACUUAAAGCAGCUUGAAAUUUUAAAAGAAAAACAGAAAAUGCAAUCUGUUUUCUCAUUUGGUCUGUUUCCUCUUUAAACAAGCACACUCUAACUCUCUAAAGAUUUCCCCCUAAAAAGAAAACACAUUGCUCAGCUUGACCUAUAAUUUAAAUCACAAUUAAGCUUCCAGUUAGAAUGUAUCUUCAUCAUAAAUCUACUAUAAAUCCCCCAGUGUUCUGUUAAAUUGCCUUAGCCUCUUAAACAGCAGGACCCCAGUUUUAUU